UACGUAGGGUGCGAGCGUUAAUCGGAAUUACUGGGCGUAAGGCGUGCGCAGGCGGUUCUGAAAGUCAGCUGUGAAAGCCCCGGGCUUAACCUGGGAACUGCGGUUGAAACUACAGGACUAGAAUCUGGCAGAGGGGGGUGGAAUUCCACGUGUAGCAGUGAAAUGCGUAGAGAUGUGGAGGAACACCGAUGGCGAAGGCAGCCCCCUGGGCUGAGAUUGACGCUCAGGCACGAAAGCGUGGGGAGCAAACAGG
rnacentral:rRNA from 1 species